CCUACGGGUGGCAGCAGUAGGGAAUCUUUGGCAAUGGACGAAAGUCUGACGGAGCAACGCCGCGUGAGUGAUGAAGGUCUUCGGAUCGUAAAACUCUGUUGGUAGAGAAGAACGUUGGUGAGAGUGGAAAGCUCAUCAAGUGACGGUAACUACCCAGAAAGGGACGGUUAACUACGUGCAUGCGACCCCGGUAAACCGUGGGUCCCGACCGUUGUCCGGAUUUUUUGGGAGAAAAGCGUAGUCCGGUGGUUUAUUAGGUCUGGUGAAAAAGGCAGUGGCUAAACCAUUGUAUGCAUUGGAAACUGGGAGACUUGAGUGCGAGAGAGGAGAGUGGAAUUCCAGGGGUAGGGGUGAAAUGCGUAGAUAUAUGGAGGAACACCGGUGGCGAAGGCGACUCUCUGGCCUGUAACUGACACUGAGGAUCGAAAGCGUGGGGAGCAAACAGGAUUAGAUACCCGAGUAGUC
rnacentral:rRNA from 1 species